GACGAACGCUGGCGGCGUGCUUAACACAUGCAAGUCGAACGAUGAAGCCGGAGCUUGCUCUGGUGAAUUAGUGGCGAACGGGUGAGUAACACGUGAGUAACCUGCCCUUGACUCUGGGAUAACUGCGGGAAGCUGUAGCUAAUACCGGAUACGACCCUCGGAGGCAUCUCCUGGGGGUGGAAAGAAUUUCGGUCAAGGAUGGACUCGCGGCCUAUCAGCUAGUUGGUGAGGUAAAGGCUCACCAAGGCGACGACGGGUAGCCGGCCUGAGAGGGUGACCGGCCACACUGGGACUGAGACACGGCCCAGACUCCUACGGGAGGCAGCAGUGGGGAAUAUUGCACAAUGGGCGCAAGCCUGAUGCAGCAACGCCGCGUGAGGGAUGACGGCCUUCGGGUUGUAAACCUCUUUUAGCAGGGAAGAAGCGAAAGUGACGGCACCUGCAGAAAAAGCACCGGCUAACUACGUGCCAGCCGCCGCGGUAA
rnacentral:rRNA from 1 species